rnacentral:rRNA from 1 species
AACGAACGCUGGCGGCGUACUUAACACAUGCAAGUCGUACGAGAAAGGGGACUUCGGUCCCUGAGUACAGUGGCGAACGGGUGCGUAACACGUAAGUAAUCUACCCCGAACACUGGGAUAACCCUCCGAAAGGAGGGCUAAGACUGGAUAGAGUCCCCGAGGUAUAAGCCGCGGGGGAAAAACGGGCCUCUGUUUCAUGCUCGUGGUUUGGGAUGGGCUUGCGGCCCAUUAGCUAGUUGGUGGGGUAAUAGCCUACCAAGGCAACGAUGGGUAGCUGGUCUGAGAGGAUGAUCAGCCACACUGGCACUGAGACACGGGCCAGACUCCUACGGGAGGCAGCAGUGGGGAAUUUUGCGCAAUGGGCGAAAGCCUGACGCAGUAACGCCGCGUGGAGGAUGAAGGCCUUCGGGUUGUAAACUCCUGACAGGAGGAACGACGGGGAAGAGGUGAUAAGCCUUGUUCUCCAGACGGUACCUCCAAAGGAAGCCCCGGCUAAUUC